AUGGGGGGAGAAAAACCUGAUGAGUGUCCUUGGCCCCAACUACCAAUCUUCUCCCAGGGCGACCAGACGGGGUUAAAUCCGGGUGUCCAAGUGCGGCUUGUCAAGGUGCAGGCUGGUGUGCGUCAGGGGAUGUCUUUGGCUUUAGGGAAAAAGCCACUGGUCUGUUUCUCUGCUUUGUUUCUCUUCAGCUACCUGUGCAAUAUCCUCCCAGAAGGAGGGGGACGGUUUGCUUUCAUUCACCACUGCACAGUGCCAGGCUCAGAUGAGGGUGUUCAACCAGCUGUGCAGCCACGAGGCCCAGGCCACAGGGCCCAAGUGAGGCUGUGUGAGAACUUCUCCGCGCACAUUGUAAAUACCAUCUGUCAUACCGCCUGCCCAGACACGGCCUUCCUCCCUGGAAGGAAAGUGUUCUUUAUUAUUUAUGCAGAACGCACCCUACUUAAGUGCUGUGCCACCAGGAGAGGGAAAGAAAAGCCCAGAAGAAUGGAGGACUCCAGGGACCUGCCCCUCGGAUAGCAGCUGGUCAGGAGGGCUUGGCCAUCCUCUCUCUCAUCUCUCUUGGGUGGGAGGAUAACUCUCAGCUCUCCUGGGGAUCAGGAGGCCUGCAUUCUCCUUGCUUUGCCAUCAGCUUGCUGUAUGACCUUGACCAAAGCACCUCAACUCUGUAGGCCUCCAUUUUCUCAUCUGUAAAUGCAGAGGUCAAACUAGAUGAGCUGUGACCUCUCCCCAGCCCUGAAAUAUGACUGGGUCACUUGGAUCCUUCUGCCUCCUGCCACUUGCCCAGUAGCUUGUUCACUUCCCAUUACCCCUUCCACCCCGGCUGGAUGGGGGAAAUACAGAUCAGGAUGUAAUUCCUUAGUACUUGCAAGCAGGAUCAGGAGUCAGCAGACCUGGGUUCUUGUCCAAGCUCUGUCACUCUUUAGCCAUAGAGCCACUCUUUGGACUCUUAUGAUUGCGAGAAGAAUCCAUCUCAAAAUCCCAUGAUCUCCGACUUGCCAUUCCAAAACAGUGCCUGUAAACAUCUUUGCAGACUGAGGCUCCGGACACAGAGAUAAAUGAGACAUAGUCUCUGCCCACAGUGAGCUCUAGUACAGAUAGAAAAGACACGCUACAAAAUCCUUCAGGUACGAUGCUACUGAUGCUGAGUAGAGAUGUAUGCAAAGUAUGUGGUGGCAGAAAGGGGGUCCAAAGAGGUGAUGCUGGAGCUGGAUCUUAAAAGACUAAGUAGGAGUUUGCCAGGUGGAUGAAGGCUUGAUGCAUUCAAGACAGAGGGAGCUGCAUGUACUGAGGCAAGAAGGUGUAAAUUUGCAUAGAAACUGCCUACUUGUUGUUAGGUGAUGGGGACAUUCUGGGAGUCUUUGCAUUGACUACUUUCUCUUCUACCCCUCUGGAACAAUCCAGUACUCCCCGGAUGGGGGUAAGGGGGCUUAUGAUUGAUGGCUCAGCUUGCCCUCCUGGUCCAUGAAACACAUCACCAGGGAUAUGAGAGACUAACAAGACUCUCCCCUUCCAUCUCCUGCCUUUAUCUGUUCUCUGAACUAGAAUCAGUGAAGCAGGCUGGAAAUGGGAUGGCUGAAGUGGCCUCAAGGUGACCCACAAUUUUCCAGCCUCGCAAGCCAUCAGGCCAGGUCAGAAGAGGAACAUGGCUCUCUGCAAAAUGGGGCCCAGCGGCUGGCAGUCAGGGUUGCUGGGCAUCCUCCUGUGUGUGGCCAGAGCACGUGAUUUGUCCUACAGCUGUGGCAGCCUGUUGUGGCUCCUUGGGGAGCUGUCUGAGUCCUCUGCAGAGAGAUGGAGUUAACCUGUCCCUUCUCCGUGAAGGACGUCCUGCAACAGAAAUGCGCUCAAUCUGAUUGCUGCAGCUAUGGUCUGCAGCUCUCAUGCCUGCUCUGCAUACUCCAAAAUACAUAAGAACAGCACAGAGAAUGCCUGCAUCCAAGAUAUCCAUUAGCUGUGAGCAGCCUCAUAGGCUGCGAAUCAUGGGGUUAACCAGGCUCGGGGAAAGCCUAUGAAGCACUGUAAGCAUUCUGCUGGUUUGGCUUGCUGCAACAAUUUAUAUCCAAGAAAAAGGGGCUGCAAGUCAGGGAAAUACCAGAACCGCUGAAGGAACGGGCACAUUUGCCAGAUGGUUCCCAAGGCACAAUUGUGUUUGCAGAGGGAUCGUCUGCAGAGGGAGGUCCUUUCCUCGGAGAGCAAAGGCGCUGGCUGAUGGCUCAUUCAUUAUCCUAGGGCUGGUUUGGAAGAGGGUGCUGGCUUAAAGCACACCCACGCUUGUCCUCAUCUCAGAACCUUGCAGCUGUGAUUGCCUGAGGUUGUAGUGGCAUUCGGGAUUGAGCCUCUCCAAGCGCUCCUAACUGUGUUUCUUUAGACACCUGCCACCUGUAUCUUCUUUCCUAGCUUAAGCCAGUUAGUUCAUUUUCCCAGCUGCCAGCUGUCACUCUCUCUCCUUAAUGUAUCUGACUGCAUUUAGUCAAUUACACAGCUUGGACUCUUAUGAUGUGAGUUCAGCGGUGCUGCCAGGGCUGAACUACGAGGCAACAGGGACAAGGCUGGGGGAAUGGUUAAGUGGGCUCGAAAAUAUGAAUAACUGGAAGGGCAUCUUAAAUUAUUUGCACAGAAUUUUUUAAAAGAUUUUAUUUAUCUACUUGAGACAGAGAGAGUUUAAGAGCAGGUGGAAGGGGCAGAGAAGCAGACUCCCCACAAAGCAGGGAGCCAGACAUGGAGUUCGAUCCCAGGACCCAGGGAUCAUGACGUGAGCUGAAGGCAGAUGCCUAACCGACUGAGCCACCCAGGUGCCCCUUGCACAGAAUCUUCAAGAACUCAUUGCUUUUGCUUGAUCAUGCAUGUGUCUGCCUGUCUUCCUCCAUGAAACUACAGAUUGUGAGCCGACGAAGCCAUCUCUAUCUUGGUUUUGCUACAUAUUCCAGGUGGGUUGGUGGUCAUGGUCUGAGUCAUGCAGAUGCCCCCAAAAGCCUGGGUCACAGGGCAGAUGGGGUGAGGGUGAGUUGGCAGUUAGUCCUGCAGAGCCCCGGUGAUGCCUGGGCUGGCGGUCAGUGGGCUCUCCCCUGUAGAAGGAUAGUACCAUAGCAGGGGGUGGUGAGGGUGCCCGCGUAUUAGGGGACCUGUGAUCAUGUGUCUGUUGUAACAUCUGUGUUACAUCAUGACCUCCAUAAGGACAGGAUGCCUUUGUCAUUGCCACACUUUUUCUGUUCUCCAGUAUCAUGCUGUCAGUGUGGCGUCUAGGGGGUUAGUGGAAACAAACAUCUUUAUUUACAGACCUCCAUUUGCAUCUGGCAGGAUAACCUUCACCCAGUUAGUUCACUUAGGCUCAAUGGAACUCAGUUUCCUUUAACUUAAAUGAAGCUGCUAUGACACAUCUUUCGAGGAUGUAGAUAAAAAGGAUGGGGCAGUGCCUGGCACAGAGUAGCUCUCUGUAAGUAACAUCAUUUCUCCCUCCCUUUUCCCCCUGGAUACUCAAUACAUGGUGUUGAAUAGAUGAAUAAAUUAUUUCAGAGAUGAAUACACUUUGGCAUCUUUCUUGGAUACAUUCAUAUUCCAAAAAGCCCAUAUAUCACAGUUUUGUUUUGUUUUUUAAAUCCAACACCACAUAACCAAAUUUGUGGUUUACAGCUGGAAGCAGCCAUCCCUGUGGGGGGCUAAAGUGGUUUCUAACAGAUGUAGAAAUACCUCUCUUUAUCCUUAAAGAAAAAUACAAUGAAACUACCUUGGGAAACGAUUCCACAGGACUUUGUGUUUGACCUCUUUUCAUCGCUCUUUUUGAUACAAGAGGCACACAGUUGGUGCCUAAUAAAUGCACACCAAAGGUUUGGCCUUCUGAGAGGCCUCUCAGUUGCAGGACUGACUGGGAGCCACGUGAAGACCUGGAGCCACAGUGUCCUCUAGUGGGGAAGACCGUCAUAACACCCCACACAGCUGACCGGACAUACCAAGCCCAAGGUUCCCUAAAGUGCCCAGGAUCAGCCCCGCAGUGCAGCCACCAGGGCAGGCUUCCAGGGCUGUUUUCAUGACUCAGAAAUAACAAACAACACAUUCUCCAGGAAAUGCUCUUCCGAAUGCAUUGCCCAGAGACAGCCAUCACAGCCACAUUUAUUCCUUAAAACUCAUUAGGCGUCAAUUAAUGGAGUCCAGGCAAUGAUUCUAGACUGCUAACACCACAAAUGAAACCAAACAUUUUCUGCCUCUGGUGGAAGUACAUAGCAUUACCUAUGACGUAUUUUUUAAAGUAAUCUCUACACCCAAAGUAUUGCUCAAACUCACAAUCCUAAGAUCAAGAGUUGCAUGCUCUACCAACUGAGCCAGCCAGUUGGUAGAUAAUAUUUUUUGCCACAGAGUUGAACCUGUGCCAGGGUGCCUGGGUGGCUCAGUCGGUUAAGCAUCCAACUCUUGAUUUCAGGUCACGUCAUGAUCUCAGGGUCGUGCGAUCAAGCCUGGUGUUAGACUCUGUGCUCAGCAAGGAAUCUGCUUGAGAUUCUGUCUCUGCCUGUCCCUCCCCCACUGCUCACGUGCGUGGGCUCUCUCUCUAAAAAAAAAGGAAAAGAAAAAAUAAUUGAACCUCAGCCUGAUCAAAUAUCUAGAUCUAACCUCCAAUUUAUAGGAAACAAAUUGGCAGCUAACAAAUUAAUACAUUUACAGAGGAAUAUGUUGAACAGCACCAUGGGGAAUGUGAUUGGAAAAAUCCAGACUGUGGAAAACUCUACAGGAAAAAUGACCUGCUUUCUUCAGCAAUAAAUUGCAAAGAGGAAAAGAGGUGAAUCUUUUUUGAGAUCUUGAUUUAAACACAGUGAAGGGGGGAUCCCUGGAUGGCUCAGCGGUUUCGCGCCUGCCUUUGGCCCCGGGCCCGAUCCUGGAGACCCGGGAUCGAGUACCGCGUCGGGCUCCCAGCAUGGAGCCUGCUUCUCCCUCUCCUCUGCCUGUGUCUCUGCCUCUCUCUCUCUCUCUCUCUAUGUCUAUCAUAAAUAAAUAAAAAUAAAUUAAAAAAAUAAACACAGUGAAGGUUAAAAAAAAAAAAAAAAAAAGCUUGUUUAGACAAACCGGGAUAUCUGAACACUGUAUAGUUGAUCUUAAGAAAAUGUUCGCUGUAGGGAUCCCCGGGUGGCUCAGCAGUUUAGUGCCUGCCUUUGGCCCAGGGUGUGAUCCUGGAGACCCGGGAUUGAGUCCCACAUCGGGCUCCCUGCAUGGAGCCUGCUUCUCUCUCUGCCUGUGUCUCUGCCUCUCUCUCUGUGUGUGUGUCUCUCAUGAAUAAAUAAAUAAAAUCUUUAAAAAAAAACAAAAUUGUUCAUUGUUUUUAAAAUGUGAAGAUAGUAUCAUGGUUGUUUAUUUUUUAUAGAUUCUCUAUAUUUUAUUUUAUUUUUCA
rnacentral:lncRNA from 1 species